rnacentral:rRNA from 1 species
GGCUCAGAACGAACGCUGGCGGCAGGCCUAACACAUGCAAGUCGAGCGCACUCUUCGGAGUGAGCGGCGGACGGGUUAGUAACGCGUGGGAAUAUACCCUUCACUACGGAAUAGCCUCGGGAAACUGAGAGUAAUACCGUAUACGCCCUUCGGGGGAAAGAUUUAUCGGUGAUGGAUUAGCCCGCGUCUGAUUAGAUAGUUGGUGGGGUAACGGCCUACCAAGUCUACGAUCAGUAGCUGGUUUGAGAGGAUGAUCAGCAACACUGGGACUGAGACACGGCCCAGACUCCUACGGGAGGCAGCAGUGGGGAAUCUUAGACAAUGGGCGAAAGCCUGAUCUAGCCAUGCCGCGUGAGUGACGAAGGCCUUAGGGUCGUAAAGCUCUUUCGCCAGGGAUGAUAAUGACAGUACCUGGUAAAGAAACCCCGGCUAACUCCGUGCCAGCAGCCGCGGUAAUACGGAGGGGGUUAGCGUUGUUCGGAAUUACUGGGCGUAAAGCGUACGUAGGCGGAUUGGAAAGUAUGGGGUGAAAUCCCGGGGCUCAACCCCGGAACUGCCCUGUAAACUAUCAGUCUAGAGUUCGAGAGAGGUGAGUGGAAUUCCAAGUGUAGAGGUGAAAUUCGUAGAUAUUUGGAGGAACACCAGUGGCGAAGGCGGCUCACUGGCUCGAUACUGACGCUGAGGUACGAAAGUGUGGGGAGCAAACAGGAUUAGAUACCCUGGUAGUCCACACCGUAAACGAUGAAUGCCAGACGUCGGGGGGCUUGCCCUUCGGUGUCACACCUAACGGAUUAAGCA